rnacentral:rRNA from 1 species
GAAAGAAUAUCGGAGACGGAUGGGCAUGCGGCGCAUUAGCUAGUUGGCGGGGUAACGGCCCACCAAGGCGACGAUGCGUAGGGGUUCUGAGAGGAAGGUCCCCCACACUGGUACUGAGACACGGACCAGACUCCUACGGGAGGCAGCAGUGAGGAAUAUUGGUCAAUGGGCGAGAGCCUGAACCAGCCAAGUCGCGUGAGGGAGUACUGCCCUAUGGGUUGUAAACCUCUUUUGUCGGGGAGCAAAAGCCGGACGUGUCCGGCUGCGAGAGUACCCGAAGAAAAAGCAUCGGCUAACUCCGUGCCAGCAGCCGCGGUAAUACGGAGGAUGCGAGCGUUAUCCGGAUUUAUUGGGUUUAAAGGGUGCGCAGGCGGAUUUUUAAGUCAGCGGUCAAAUCGUGGGGCUCAACCCCAUCCAGCCGUUGAAACUGGGGAUCUAGAGUGUGCGAGAGGUAUGCGGAAUGCGUGGUGUAGCGGUGAAAUGCAUAGAUAUCACGCAGAACCCCGAUUGCGAAGGCAGCAUACCGGUGCACAACUGACGCUCAGGCACGAAAGCGUGGGUAUCGAACAGGAUUAGAUACCCUGGUAGUCCACGCAGUAAACGAUGAAUGCUACCUGUUUGGCCAGAUUGAAGGCUGAGCGGG